rnacentral:rRNA from 1 species
AUGGCUUCAUCUGGUUCCAUGAGGAGGCCGCCUUGUGCUGACUGUGAACACAUGUCGAACAAGUGGGGGGAAGCCAAAUUUGACAAGAUGAAGGAAAAAGAUAUGAAAACCCCACCAUGUUGGUGUGGAUAUGUUUGCAAGGUGAAGGUGUCCACCGACCGCAAGAAGUCAUGGACGGAAGGGAGAAGAUUUUGUGUGUGUCCCAACUAUGCACAUGAUCGGGUGCUUCCAACAAACGCCUAUGACGUACCACCGGUAUGGUCAAAGAGUAAUCUUAAUUUUGGUUCAACUUCAAGUCAUAAUGCUAAGAAAAAAAAUGUUUUUCAUAUGCAGUCACCGCCUCCUCUUUGCAAGUACUUCACAUGGAUAGGUCAAGAUGUUACAGAAGAUGUUCAAAAGGACCAAUAUCGGGAUUUUCUUAGGAGGCAACGGUUGUUCGAAGAAGCAUAUCAAAGAGCCGAGGAUGCAAAGCGCCGUCAAAAGGAGAAGAUGGAACGAAAGAAGUGCAAGGAGUAG